GUCGAGGGAGAUUGUUGGAUUCGUCUGACAUGAAACCGGCGCACGGGUGCGUAACACGUAUGCAACCUACCUUUAACUGGGGUAUAGCUCAGAGAAAUCUGAAUUAAUCCCCCAUAAGACUACGACAUGGCAUCAUGAUGUAGUUAAAGCUCCGGCGGUUAAGGACGGGCAUGCGGUACAUUAGCUAGUUGGUGAGGUAAUGGCUCACCAAGGCUACGAUGUAUAGGGGGUCUGAGAGGAUGAUCCCCCACACUGGUACUGAGACACGGACCAGACUCCUACGGGAGGCAGCAGUAGGGAAUAUCGGUCAAUGGACGCAAGUCUGAACCAGCCAUGCCGCGUGAAGGAUGAAGGCCCUAUGGGUCGUAAACUUCUUUUAUUAGGGAAGAAAAAAUGGGAUGCGUCCUAUACUGACGGUACUUAAUGAAUAAGGAUCGGCUAACUUCGUGCCAGCAGCCGCGGUAAGACGAAGGAUCCAAGCGUUGUCCGGAUUUACUGGGUUUAAAGGGUGCGUAGGCGGAAAAUUAAGUCAGUGGUGAAAGCCCGCAGCUCAACUGUGGAACUGCCAUUGAAACUGGUUUUCUUGAAUAUAGCUGAGGCAGAUGGAAUAUAACAUGUAGCGGUGAAAUGCUUAGAUAUGUUAUAGAACACCGAUUGCGAAGGCAGUCUGCUAAACUAUUAUUGACGCUGAGGCACGAAAGCGUGGGGAGCGAACAGGAUUAGAUACCCUGGUAGUCCACGCCCUAACGU
rnacentral:rRNA from 1 species